rnacentral:rRNA from 1 species
UACGUAGGGUGCGAGCGUUAAUCGGAAUUACUGGGCGUAAAGCGUGCGCAGGCGGUGAGCUGUGUCCGAUGUGAAAGCCCCGGGCUUAACCUGGGAAUGGCAGUGGAAACUGGAGGACUUGAAUUGAGCAGAGGGGGGUGGAAUGCCGUGUGUAGCAGUGAAAUGCGUAGAGAUGCGGCGGAACACCGAUGGCGAAGGCAGCCCCCUGGGCUUAAAUUGACGCUGAGGCACGAAAGCGUGGGGAGCAAACAGG